UGCUUGGAUGUCAGCUGGCAGAGUGGUGAAGACGGCCAUCGUGAGAGUCCUUUCUUCAGGUGUGACGUCCACAACCUCCAAGAGGGAAGAGAUGGGCUCUGCCUCUGUAUUAGGGGUGAUGUCCACAAUAUUUAGGUGGAAAGAAGCCGGCUCUGCCUCUGUGUUAGGGGUUAUGUCCACAUUAUUCAGGUGGAAAGAAGCCGGCUCUGCCUCUGUGUUAGGGGUUAUGUCCACAACAUUCAGGUGGGAAGAAGCCGGAUCUGCCUCUGUAUUAAGGGUUAUGUCCACAACAUUCAGGUGGAGAGAAGCCGGAUCUGCCUCUGUGUUAGGGGUGAUGUCCACAACCUCCAGGUGGGAAGAAGCCGGGCCUGCCUCUGUUUUUGGGGUGAUGUCUUGAACCUCCAGGUGGGAAGAACCCGGAUCUGCCUCUGUAUUAAGGGUUAUGUCCACAACAUUCAGGUGGGAAGAAGCCGGAUCUGCCUCUGUAUUAAGGGUUAUGUCCACAACAUUCAGGUGGAGAGAAGCCGGAUCUGCCUCUGUAUUAAGGGUUAUGUCCACAACAUUCAGGUGGAGAGAAGCCGGGUCUUCCUCUGUGUUAGGGGUGAUGUUCACAACCUCCAGGUGGGAAGAUGCCGGGUCUGCCUCUGUUUUUGGGGUGAUGUCUUGAACUUCCAGGUGGGAACAACCCGGGUCUGCCUCUGUUUUUGGGGUGAUGUCCACAACCUCCAGGUGGGAACAAGCCGGGUCUGCGUCUGUUUUUGGGGUGAUGUCCACAACCUCCAGGUGGGAACAAGCCGGGUCUGCCUCUGUGUUAGGGGUGACUUUCACAAUCUCCAGGUGGAAAGAAGCCGGAUCUGCCUCUGUGUUAGUGGUGAUGUCCACAACAUUCAGGUGGGAAGACGCUGGGUCUGUGUCAUGGGUGACAACAACAAUCCUGAUGAGCUCUACUACUACUACACCAAGAUGUCAUCAGAACAGGCAUCUGUCAGAGUGCUCGCUAU
rnacentral:lncRNA from 1 species